UAAGGCGCCUAAAUACGAUUAAGUGGAAAGGAUGUGACGUUGCACAGACAGUGAGGAUGUUGGCUUAGAGGCAGCCACCAUUUAAACAGUGCGUAAUAGCUGACUCAUCGAGCGAUGUCGCGCCGAAAAUGAUUGGCGAUCAAAUCACAUACCGAAGCUAUGGAUUCAUAACCGGUUCGCCGGAUAUGAGUGGUAGGAGAGCGUAAUCAACGCAGCGAAGCUGGACGGAAACGGAAAGUGGAGCGUUGAUUAGUGAGAAUGCAGACACGAGUAGCGAGAAACGCGGUGAGAAACCGCGUCGCCGGAAGUCUCAGGGUUCCUGGGUAAAGGUAAUCUGCUCAGGGUUAGUCGGUGCCUAAGGGGGAGCCGAGAGGCGCACCCGAUGGGAAGCCGGUUAAUAUUCCGGCACCUGGAUGUGGAUUCUCCACGGCAACGUAACUGAACGCGGAGACGUCGGCGGGGGUCCUGGGAAGAGUUCUCUUUUCUUCCGGUGCGCCCCCGGCGGCCCAACAGGUGAGAAUCCUGUUCGCCGUAAACCCAAGGUUUCCUGGGCCAGGUUCGUCCUCCCAGGGUUAGCCGGGAGCUAAGAUGAGGCCGUAAGGCGUAAUCGAUGCACAGCAGGUUAAAUAUUCCUGCGCUUGCCAGGGUUAAGGCUGCGAAUGACACAUGGGAUCACAUCAACUAGACAAUUGAAUGUUGAGCUUAGGGUUCGCCCGAAGCGUAUUGGUGGGGUCCUGUGUCGAGAAAAGUUCGCAGUUGUUCCCCGGACAACCCGUACCGUAAACCGACACAGGUAGACGAGGAGAAUAUCCUAAGGCGCUCGAGAGAACUGUUGUCAAGGAACUCGGCAAAUUAACCCCGUAACUUCGGGAUAAGGGGUGCCCUGUGGGGUGUCAAAGCUCCGCGGGGCCGCAGAGAAAUGGAUCUGGCGACUGUUUACUAAAAACACAGGUCCGUGCGAAGUCGUAAGACGAUGUAUACGGACUGACUCCUGCCCGGUGCUGGAAGGUUAAGUGGAGGGGUGCAAGCUCUGAAAUGAAGCCCAGGUAAACGGCGGCCGUAACUAUAUGGUGACGGAUCGCAGGUGUUGUUCUUCCUUAUCGGAUUGGAAGGGCGGCUGAGCGGUUCCUGGAAAGAGCCCUCCGUGAGAUCGUACCCGAAACCGACACAGGUGGGCGAGGAGAGUAUCCUAAGGCGCUCGGGAGAACCUUCGUUAAGGAACUCGGCAAAUUAGCCCCGUAACUUCGGGAGAAGGGGUACCGCGGUAGCGUGAAGCGUCGAGCACGUGGAGCGCGAGGCGGGCGCAGAGAAUAGGCCCAUGCGACUGUUUACCAAAAACACAGCUCCCUGCAAACGCGGAAGCGGACGUAUAGGGGGUGACGCCUGCCCGAUGCCGGAAGGUCAAGGGGAAGGGUGACGAGCCCCGAACCGAAGCCCCGGUCAAUGGCGGCCGUAACUAUGACGGUCCUAAGGUAGCGAAGUUCCUUGUCGGGUAAGUUCCGACCUGCACGAAAAGCGUAACGCUGGCCACACUGUCUCGACCCGAGACUCAGUGAAGUUGAAAUCGCUGUGAAGAUGCGGCGUAGCUGCGGAAAGACGGAAAGACCCCGUGAACCUUUACUACAGCUUUACACUGAACUUUGAACUUGUUUGUGUAGGAUAGGUGGGACCCUUUGAAGUGGGGGCGCUAGCUCUCAUGGAGGGGACGUUGAAAUACCACCCUGACAAUUUCGGAGUUCUAACCUCGGCCCAUCAUCUGGGCUGGGAACAAUGUAUGGUGGGUAGUUUGACUGGGGCGGUCUCCUCCCAAAGAGUAACGGAGGAGUGCAAAGGUACGCUCAGCGCGGUCGGUCAUCGCGCACAGAGUGCAAUGGCACAAGCGUGCUUAACUGUGAGACGUACAUGUCGAACAGGUGCGAAAGCAG
rnacentral:rRNA from 1 species